UACGUAGGCAGCGAGCGUUGUUCGGAAUUACUGGGCGUAAAGCGUGUGUAGGCGGUGCUCUAAGUUCGGUGUGAAAUCUCCUGGCUCAACUGGGAGGGUGCGCCGGAAACUGGAGUGCUUGAGCGUGGGAGAGGAAAGCGGAAUUCCUGGUGUAGCGGUGAAAUGCGUAGAUAUCAGGAGGAACACCUGUGGUGUAGACGGCUUUCUGGACCAUAGCUGACGCUGAGACACGAAAGCGUGGGUAGCAAACAGG
rnacentral:rRNA from 1 species